rnacentral:rRNA from 1 species
UUGAAGAGUUUGAUCAUGGCUCAGAUUGAACGCUGGCGGCAGGCCUAACACAUGCAAGUCGAGCGGUAGCACAGAGAGCUUGCUCUCGGGUGACGAGCGGCGGACGGGUGAGUAAUGUCUGGGAAACUGCCUGAUGGAGGGGGAUAACUACUGGAAACGGUAGCUAAUACCGCAUAAUGUCGCAAGACCAAAGUGGGGGACCUUCGGGCCUCAUGCCAUCAGAUGUGCCCAGAUGGGAUUAGCUAGUAGGUGGGGUAACGGCUCACCUAGGCGACGAUCCCUAGCUGGUCUGAGAGGAUGACCAGCCACACUGGAACUGAGACACGGUCCAGACUCCUACGGGAGGCAGCAGUGGGGAAUAUUGCACAAUGGGCGCAAGCCUGAUGCAGCCAUGCCGCGUGUAUGAAGAAGGCCUUCGGGUUGUAAAGUACUUUCAGCGGGGAGGAAGGCGAUAAGGUUAAUAACCUUGUCGAUUGACGUUACCCGCAGAAGAAGCACCGGCUAACUCCGUGCCAGCAGCCGCGGUAAUACGGAGGGUGCAAGCGUUAAUCGGAAUUACUGGGCGUAAAGCGCACGCAGGCGGUCUGUCAAGUCGGAUGUGAAAUCCCCGGGCUCAACCUGGGAACUGCAUUCGAAACUGGCAGGCUAGAGUCUUGUAGAGGGGGGUAGAAUUCCAGGUGUAGCGGUGAAAUGCGUAGAGAUCUGGAGGAAUACCGGUGGCGAAGGCGGCCCCCUGGACAAAGACUGACGCUCAGGUGCGAAAGCGUGGGGAGCAAACAGGAUUAGAUACCCUGGUAGUCCACGCCGUAAACGAUGUCGAUUUGGAGGUUGUGCCCUUGAGGCGUGGCUUCCGGAGCUAACGCGUUAAAUCGACCGCCUGGGGAGUACGGCCGCAAGGUUAAAACUCAAAUGAAUUGACGGGGGCCCGCACAAGCGGUGGAGCAUGUGGUUUAAUUCGAUGCAACGCGAAGAACCUUACCUGGUCUUGACAUCCACAGAACUUAGCAGAGAUGCUUUGGUGCCUUCGGGAACUGUGAGACAGGUGCUGCAUGGCUGUCGUCAGCUCGUGUUGUGAAAUGUUGGGUUAAGUCCCGCAACGAGCGCAACCCUUAUCCUUUGUUGCCAGCGGUUCGGCCGGGAACUCAAAGGAGACUGCCAGUGAUAAACUGGAGGAAGGUGGGGAUGACGUCAAGUCAUCAUGGCCCUUACGACCAGGGCUACACACGUGCUACAAUGGCAUAUACAAAGAGAAGCGACCUCGCGAGAGCAAGCGGACCUCAUAAAGUAUGUCGUAGUCCGGAUUGGAGUCUGCAACUCGACUCCAUGAAGUCGGAAUCGCUAGUAAUCGUAGCUCAGAAUGCUACUGUGAAUACGUUCCCGGGCCUUGUACACACCGCCCGUCACACCAUGGGAGUGGGUUGCAAAAGAAGUAGGUAGCUUAACCUUCGGGAGGGCGCUUACCACUUUGUGAUUCAUGACUGGGGUGAAGUCGUAACAAGGUAACCGUAGGGGAA